CAGUUUCCGCUGGCCACCCAGUAAUCAGCACAAGUUAGAAUGUGGGCAACUCGGCAGUCGUUGCGGAGGCACUUUGGUGACUCUAGAUAACCUCAGGCCAAUCACACGUCCCCGUAACAGCGACGACGCAUUCGGAUGUCUGCCCUAUCAACUUUCUGCGCCUACCAUGGUGACCAUGGGUAACAGGGAAUCAGGGUUUGAUUCCGGAGAGGGAGCCUGAGAAAUGGCUACCACAUCCAAGGAAGGCAGCAGGCGCGCAAAUUACCCACUCUCGACGCUGGGAGGUAUUGA